AUUGAACGCUGGCGGCAGGCCUAACACAUGCAAGUCGAACGAGUGGCGGACGGGUGAGUAAUGUCUGGGAAACUGCCUGAUGGAGGGGGAUAACUACUGGAAACGGUAGCUAAUACCGCAUACCAUCAGAUGUGCCCAGAUGGGAUUAGCUAGUUGGUGGGGUAACGGCUCACCAAGGCGACGAGCCCUAGCUGGUCUGAGAGGAUGACCGGCCACACUGGAACGGAGACACGGUCCAGACUCCUACGUGAGGCAGCAGUAGGGAAUAUUGCACAAUGGGCGCAAGCCUGACGCAGCCAUGCCGCGUGUAUGAAGAAGGCCUUCGGGUUGUAAAGUACUUUCAGCGGGGAGGCGUUACCUACAGAAUAAGCACCGGCUAACUCCGUGCCAGCCGCCGCGGUAAUUC
rnacentral:rRNA from 1 species